AAUUGAAGGUCAUUUCGAUAUAUUUGAAAUCAAAGAUACAAAAGACAAAAUUUAAAUAAGAUUAUUUGCUGCCUUAUUUCAUUUCAAUAUCAUAAUCUUAGAGUACAAAGCCAUAACUAUAUGGUUCAUAAAAUUAGAAAGAAAGAAAAAAUCAAAUUAUUAGUUGUCUACACAAUAACUAAAUGGCAACUCAUGAAAUAUUCUUGCAUGACAUUUGUUUGCUCUCUUGGUUUUGGCACUAAAUACAUAAUCAUGUGCAAAACUUACUCCUAACACAUGCACAUUCACCGUAAAAACACAUCCUUUGCAUGGGAGGCUGGCAUAUAUUUGCUGGACAAUCAGAAUCUUCAACACAUGUCCAACCUGACGUAAUAAAAAAAAGAAUAAAAGAAUGUAACUAAAAUGGAAUAAAUAUUGUGUGCGAAGUAAAUAGGAAAUUAGAAAAUGAUAAAAAUGGCCUACCAUUGACGUUCUUUGCAACAAGAAAAAGGGAAAAAAAGAUAGCCAAAACAUAAACAAACUUGAUAAUUUUAGCCAUAUUUCCACCCUAUGCCUAUAAAAAAAAC
rnacentral:lncRNA from 1 species